CAAAAAUUAGCCGGGUGUGAUGGUGCGCUCCUGUAAUCCCAGCUACUUGGGAGGCUGAGGCAGGAGAAUUGUUUGAACCAGGACCCGGGAGGUGGAGGUUGCGGUGAGCCGAGAUUGCGCCGUUACACUCCAACCUGGGCUACAGAGUGAGACUCUGUCUCAAAAAAAGGAAAACGAGAACUUGGAUCAUUCAGCCAGUGUUUCUGGGGUUUUGAGGCCAGACAGAUCUUGGGGGGCUGAGUCUAGCUUUCUCCAUCGUUAGUUGGGAGAACAGAGCAAGUAUCUUUGCCUCUGAGCCUCAGCUUCCUGACCUGUCAGAUGGGCUGUAAGAGGACUGAAUGUGAGGGUCCAUGAAACCCUUGACUCGGGGCCUGGCAUGGAGUCAGUACGCGGUUUGCCCUAAGCUGGCAGGUUCGGGCACCCUGUCCCCCACCCCCUUCCAGUGGUUCUGGGUGUCACUUGUCCAGCAGCCCCCUCCUAAAGGCUAUCACCUAUAAGUGGUCCCCUGGGUCGGGGCCUUUGGCUGGCCGAGGCAGCAUUAUUUUCUUAAGCUGAUGGGGUCAGACUGGCUUUGCUGAACCAACCUCAUAGUAGGGGCGGGGAAGUCAAGGCUGGGGCCCUCACCGCCGGCUGGCCCGAGGUUUCUCUGCCAUGACCCAGUACGGCAGCUCUGAGCUUGGCCUGGUAUGGUCAGGAACAAGGGGCCUUUGUCAGCGGCUGGGGAGCAGCUUCUGGUUUCAAUUACUCUGCAGAGCACGAGGAAGCUUGCAGAGAACGUGGGGCCGGAGCCCGACAGGGCAGGAGUCAAGGGCUCCCCUGCUCCACUUCCCUCCCUCUGACCCCCAAGGGGUCUCUUGUCCCCGUUCGACUCUGCCUGAGGGUCCUGCGCGUCCUGGGGGCCCUGGGAUGUUAGCCCAGAGCCCCUUCCAGCUCCGGCCCCUUCUCAUUCUUCGUGGUGGUACUGGGACCCCUCCCAGGAAGAUGAUCGACGGCCGUUAACGUGGGUCCUCAGUGCUUCCCCCGUUCGUCCUUCCAGGCCUCAUGCGCAGACCACACUGACCACAGCCGAGCCCCUGGCCCUGAGGGAGGUCUUGGUUCAACUGGGAAGGAACACAGGCCUUUCCCUUUGGUUCCAUCUCUCCGGUCCCCAACCCCUGCCCUGGCACUCACAGCCCCCGUAGCUCCCUGUCCCGGGACACUGGAGUGACCUCUCCCUGGAAGAUCAGCUCGCGUCGGCGCCCGCCAAGGCCAGGAAUGCGUGUCAGGCCCCGCGUCGGCUCCUGGCUUAGGAGUUCCGCCUCCCUGCUGCUUGCCGGCCUCACAGCUGGCCCAUGUGGGGCUCUUCCCUCUGCCGCUACCCCCCACCCCUGUGCCAGUUCCCCAGGCACAUGGGGACCGUGGAGGCUGAGCCCCAGGCCUGGUUCUACUUCCUGCUCACUCUCCACUUCCUCCCAGGGCCCUGUGACUGCAGCCAUUGUCCUGCUCUUUCCCCACCCGCCCCAGCUGUUUCGGACACAUUUGUUCUCCAGCCCAGACUCCCACCUGCUGUCCCUUUUCAAGGCAGGUCUAGACGCCUGGUUCUCCUUGGAGAGUGGGCAGCUGAGCCUGUCCUGAGUGGGGGAAGUCAGGGGCAGGGUCCCUCGAGAGUGCCUGCCCUGCCGUCGAAAGCUUUUCCAAACGUGGGGCACGAACCUCUCUCGUCAGCCCUGCUCAGCCGCCUCCGUCGCCCAGGUGUUCCUGAUUUUGGGAGCCUGGACUCUGCCCAGUGGAUUCUGAGCAGGAAGCAUCCAGCAGGAAGCAGAUGGAGGUGUGAGUCGGCUCCCCCUGCUCCCCUCCAGCCCUGGGAAGUGCCACCUUGGCAGGCAGGCUUGGCGCCCGCUCCCCCCGACCCACCUCUGAGGGGUGGGCACCACGCAGAGAAGCCGGUCCAGACAGGACCUCAGGAGCUGAUGCAGUCAGGCCCUGAGAACAUCCAGCCUCCCGACAAACCAAAAACAGGUGUUCUCAGCUCUGGGUGCCGGGCUCCCAGACUCAGAGGCACAGGACCUGGGUUUGAUCUUAGCCGGCCAACUUCGGGUGACCCUUCAGAGAGUGUCCUCUCGGGUCCGUGAGCAUUCAGCGAACUCGCCGAGGCGAAAGCUGCAGACAUAGAUUCCUCCCCGUGAGCCGCUAACCUCCCUGCGGGCGGAGGCUGCUGCUUCCUCCUAGGAAUCCAAAGAAUCAGCUCCAGGGUUGUCCCACUUUCCGUGUUUUCUGAAAACUUCGAGAGAAGGACGCCGCAGAAGGGUUGCCAGAGAAUUCCUUGAGUUAGGGCUGAGGCUGCAGACGAAUGCUGAGCGGGGGUCACCUUUAGGGUGGGCUCUGCUGGCCUCCCUCAAGCCUGCAGCCACUGCAGACUCACAGCAGCCCCUCGUGGCCAGCCCCGCCCUUACCGUGGCCCGGGGGCGUGGACAGUGGUGGUGCUGGGUGAGGGUCUAAGCCCCAGUGCAGCCUGCAGCCUUGGGCGGGGGCAGAGAGGGAUGGGCACAGUGUGUUCACGCCCUCGGAGGCAAGUGCUGAGCUGCCCUGGCUUCGGGAAAGACCCUAGCGCGACUGGAGACGCAAGAUGACCCAGACACGCCCGCCCGACCCACUAGACAGGCGCUGUUCCCUCUCGAGGCUGCCGGGGCGAACGCACAGCCACCGAGCAAAAGCCCCGAGUUUCCCAAAGCAGGGAGAGAAGCGGAGACACGACAGGAGCUGCAGGUUCAGUGUCUGACCCGGAGGUGUCCUUACAAAGCCCCUAAUCUCUCUGACCCCCCCCAUGUCCCCCACCCCGAGGGAGAGUGAGGCCCUCGGGAGAACUGCCUGUAGGAGCUGCUGGGGGCCCACCCACAGAACCUAAGGUUUGAGCUGUAGAUGCCUGAAAGGAGGGCGGGGCGGUGGGGUGUGCCUCAGAUUCUGCCUGUGGGGUGUGGGAAUUCCGGGGAGGGACAUGAGCCCCAAGGCAGGCGAGGGGUGGUAGAAAAGCAGGUGUGAGUCGGUGGGCCCCACGUACCCUCUCCAGCCAGGGCGCCUGCUCUCUCUGCUUCUGCUUUUAUCUGACGAGUUGGGCAGGGAGACGUCGGCAUAAAAUUUCAUUUGGAAAAAAAGGCAGGGGUGCAUCCUCAGCAGAAAAGAAAUCUCACCAGAGACCAUGUGUCUGUUCCGAGCUCCUGAUGUGACAGCUGUGGAAACUGAACCCAGAGAGAAAAACACAGCCGCUUGUCCUGGCCUUGGACACGUAGCUCAGCUUGUCAGAGCCCUUCGUUUCCUCAGAGGUAAAGCGGGGAUGCUGGUACUGACUUCAUACAGUUGGGAGGGGGAAGCCACCUAUUUCUCAAAAACACCAAGGCCUCCGAGGAGAAGUCCUGACACCUGCCUGGCCGUUGACGCCGGAUGCCGAGGGCUUGUCUCUGGGCCCCGACCCACCUGCCUUGGGGUCAACCAAGAAAUGUCCUGACCCAGCUCUUUGUCCUGAAUCCAAAGCAUCAUCCAUGCUUGAGUAAGGCACAGUGCUUGUGAGCACCAAGGGCUUUGGGGGGACCUCCCCCUCGUCACUUGGCACUGUGUAACCCUGGCCAGAACUGGACCUCCUGACCGCCUGUCCUCACCUCUCUAGAACAGGGCAGUAACACCAACACGACAAGAAUGUGAGCUCACAUGCAGUCAGGCGUUUGAAAGACCUGGCCCGUGGUUGCCACGGUGCAAAUACUGGUUUCCUUUCUGCGCCGUGCCGGGGUCUGCAGAGGUGCGAGGUCCCAGACACCCCUGGGUUUUGCAUAGUUAACCAUUUGGGAUUUAGCCUUUCUCUUUUCUCUGAAUACCAUACUCUAACUUGUACUGUUACCUUGAGACGUAA